rnacentral:tRNA from 1 species
GUUCUCGUAGUUAAAGUUUGGUAACGGCAGUUUUUCAGACUGCAGAUCCUGGAGAGAGGCCGGGCGAGAAUU